AAGUCCGGACCCGGCAAAGCGUAGCGAGCAGCCGGUACUCAGCCUUGGAGCCAAAGCCGCGAGGUUAGGUUUAAGCGUAGGCAGAGGAGCACAAGAGCCGCAAUGCGAAAGCGUGAAGCGAUUCAGCCCCGUAAGUUAUAUAGAGCGGAAGCCGAUACCGUCCUACAGGUCGCAGGCAGCAAUGGAAAACCGUAAAUGCGAGGUUAGCCAGGUUCCGUCGAGGUCUC
rnacentral:ncRNA from 1 species